rnacentral:lncRNA from 1 species
UCUGUAUUGACUUCAUCAUGGCAUAUUAGGCAAUCCAAAACCCUAAAAUCUUCUAUGUGAUGGAAAUAUGUGUGAAUAAGGGGAUGGUCAUGCCACUUACUUUUGAUAAUGCGAGGCAAUGAAAUGCAAUUUUUAUGGAUUAUAAUGUUGCAUGUACCACAUGUAUAGGAAACAUGAUUUCCUUCAGUGCCACACGCAUCACAAGUGAAUGGAACUUGUCUCAAAAACAAGGUGAAUGGAUGUUCAUGAUUUGUAUUCUUAAUAACUUGUAAUGACGAUUGUGAUGCACAUUCAAUGUGAACAACAAACUUACAAGGAGAACAACCAUAAACAAAUCCUCUUCGCCUUGGUACUUGGCAUAUCUUGCAAGAGAGCCGUUUGCUAUUAAAUUGUAGAACAAGAGGAUGCUUGCGAUGGUACACAUGAUUGAGUUUGAAAGGAAGCUCAGCGCAUUUCUCAUGUAAAUUAAAUCCACAAUCAGGAGAAAAGUGUGUAUACAUUGCUAAUGGUUCCCAACAUCCAAAGCACUUACUAACAUCUUUGAGUUUUUUAUCACCAUUUUCAGUGGAAAUCAAUGGAUCAUGAAGGGCAACAUGCUCAAGCUCUUUCAAAUUAUUCUCAGCAAUAUUAAGUGUAAACAAAGCACAUUUAAUAUGAAAGUCCAAUUCACAACUAGAGCAGUGAUAAACAGACUUGUCACCAAAUUCAUGGCAGAAUGUGCAAAAGUACGCUCCAGAUAAAUGAGGUGACUUUUGCAUAAGAAGAAGAGGAUGGUUGAGAUGAAAAGGGUGAUUAAGCGCCAAAGGUGCCUCGGCACAUACCUUGUGAAGAUAAAACCCACAGUGCUCCGCACAGUAAAAACAUGGAGCAGACACCUUCUCCCCACACCUGGAGCAAUCAGUUACACCGCCUUGAUUGUCGAUCAGCUGCUCUUGAUUCAACAUAAGAAGCAGGGGAUGUUGGUGCCCAUUAAACAAGGUGAAUGGAUGUUCAUGAUUUG